AGGGCUUUAGCUUAAUUAAAGUGUCUGUUUUGCAUGCAGUGGAUGUGGGUUAGUACCCCAUAAGUCUUA
rnacentral:tRNA from 1 species